UGGGUUCUGCGCAAGGUGAUGUUGUGAACCAUGUCAGGGCCGGGAGGCAGCAGCAUUAAGCAAAUUUUCGCUUGUGCCGCAGGU
rnacentral:SRP_RNA from 1 species